AUUGAACGCUGGCGGUAUGCUUAACGCAUGCAAGUCGAACGGCAGCACAGUAUGUAGCAAUACAUAUGGGUGGCGAGUGGCGGACGGGUGAGUAACGCGUAGGAAUCUACCCUAAAGCGGGGGACAGCCCGAGGAAACUCGGGCUCAUACCGCAUAAUCUCGAAAGAGUAAAGCUGGGGCAACCUGGCACUUUAGGAGGAGCCUGCGUCCGAUUAGCUAGUUGGUGAGGUAAAGGCUCACCAAGGCGAUGAUCGGUAGCUGGUCUGAGAGGAGGAUCAGACACACUGGGACUGAGACACGGCCCAGACUCCUGCGGGAGGCAGCAGUGGGGAAUAUUGGACAAUGGGGGCAACCCUGAACCAGCAAUACCGCGUGUGUGAAGAAGGCCUCAGGGUUGUAAAGCACUUUAGUUGGGGAAGAAGGAUAGUUGUUUAAGAGAUGAUUAUUUUGACGGUACCCAAAGAAUAAGCACCGGCUAACUCUGUGCCAGCCGCCGCCGUAA
rnacentral:rRNA from 1 species